rnacentral:tRNA from 1 species
GCCGAGGUAGCUCAGUCCGGUAGAGCAGCGGACUGAAAAUCCGCGUGUCAUCGGUUCGAUUCCGAUCCUCGGCA